GAUGAACGCUGGCGGCGUGCUUAACACAUGCAAGUCGAACGGAAAGGCCAGUGCUUGCACUGGUACUCGAGUGGCGAACGGGUGAGUAACACGUGGGUGAUCUGCCCUGCACUUCGGGAUAAGCCUGGGAAACUGGGUCUAAUACCGGAUAGGACAAUGGUUUGGAUGCCGUUGUGGAAAGUUUUUUCGGUGUGGGAUGAGCUCGCGGCCUAUCAGCUUGUUGGUGGGGUAAUGGCCUACCAAGGCGUCGACGGGUAGCCGGCCUGAGAGGGUGUACGGCCACAUUGGGACUGAGAUACGGCUCAGACUCCUACGGGAGGCAGCAGUGGGGAAUAUGGCACAAUGGGCGCAAGCCUGAUGCAGCGACGCCGCGUGGGGGAUGACGGCCUUCGGGUUGUAAACUCCUUUCGCUAGGGACGAAGCGUAUUUGUGACGGUACCUGGAGAAGAAGCACCGGCUAACUACGUG
rnacentral:rRNA from 1 species